rnacentral:rRNA from 1 species
UACGUAGGGUGCGAGCGUUUGUCCGGAAUUACUGGGCGUAAAGAGCUCGUAGGUGGUUUGUCGCGUUGUCCGUGAAAUUCCCUGGCUUAACUGGGGGCGUUGCGGGCGAUACGGGGCAGACUGGAGUACUGCAGGGGAGACUGGAAUUCCUGGUGUAGCGGUGGAAUGCGCAGAUAUCAGGAAGAACACCCCGUGGCGAAGGCGGCUCUCUGGAAACG